rnacentral:lncRNA from 1 species
GCUUCUGCCCUGCUUGAGUUUCUAUUCCAACUUCCUUCAAUGAUGAACAGUGAUAUGGAAAUAUAAGCCAAAAUGAAUCCUUUCCUCCCCAAAUUGCUUUUGGUCAUGGUGUUUCAUCAAAGAAAUAAAAACCCUAGCUAGGACAAAUUUCAUACAAAGUAAUUUGAUUAUAUGCACACCAUGUCUCUCCCCUUUGCUGCCCCGAGAUUCUUUAUGUAAGACCGAUAUAGAUAAGGUACAGUUGGGGUCUAAGCAUUUUAUAAGUUUAUUACCACUGAGAAACAGUUUAGAAUUAAAACAAAGUCCAUAAAUUAAUACUAUAGAACUGAACAAAAAUUGUCUCAUUAAUGAAGUGUUGGAAGAAAAACCAUGGAAAAGCCCCAUGCAGAGGGGUGUGUCUUCUGUCUGUGUGGAGGCUGCUGACGGAGGAAGCAUGAGCAGAGCAUAUCAUACGUGUGGUGGAAACCACGUGAUUGGGUCAUAGGCUUACUUAAAGAGACACCACUGAGGUUUUAUGAAAUACAAAGAAUCUCAAGUUAUCUUUAGCUAGUCCCAAAUGUCAACCAACACUGUGAUUCCAAAACUGACAAUUACUCUGAAUAGCAGCCAUCUUUGCAGGCUCUUUGGAACUUAUGGGAUCGACAUGGAGGAAUGUCUGUAUAGUUUCAUGAACUUAGGCAUGUAUUGCACAUUGCCUUUACAUCCAAAACUAGAACUAAACAGUUUUCCAAACAUGUUGCAUGGGAAAUCAUUCAUCGGUUAUUAUUGAAGGGCUUUUACUUUCUGCAUUGUAGAUAUUGUUUUUCAUUUGUACAAACCCUUGAUUUAUACAUAAAUUUAAAACCAUGAUACCAGUGCCCUGAAGCUCAGUGAUCUAAUUGUAUCCUCCUGUUUGACAGUGUUGAAAUUCCAUGCUCAAUGCAGUUCAUGAAUAACUAGCCACACAAACUGAGAAUACCAUAUUGGGCCUUAACUGUAUGAGAUUUCUUUUCCCUUUUAAAUUUUUCAUUGUAUCCUUACCCCCUUAAGUCUUUAUCCCAAUUGUCAUUGCUUUAUCUUCUUUAUAGCACACACACACACAUAUAUGCACACACACACACACACACACACACAUACACACACACACAUAUGCACACACACACAUAUGCACACACACAUACACACAUAUGCACACACACAUAUGCACAGAGAGAGGGGGGGAGAUCUUCUUGUGAUUGUUAUCACUCGGUCGUUACCAUGUUGUCAUUGGUAAAAUGUCUACUCAUACAAAUCAAGAAUAACAUUCCAGUAAACACAAGAAGUUUGCAGGAUGAGGUGAGUUUUUAUAAAUUAGAAGGUCCUAGUGUAAGAAAUCUGACUUGUACAAAGAGCAAAAUUUAAUCUUUCAUUUCAAAAACCUUGUAGUAUAAUAGAAGGAUUAAGAAGUAAUUUGACAAAAAAAUCUAAAUCUCCAAUUACCAGAUUAUUAAAUAAUACAUUCAAUGAAAGAGUAUCUUGUAAAUAUUCAAAAUAUAAGAAUAAUUGUCUAUAAUCCAAUGAUUUGGUAUGAGUCAUUAUUAAGUUGCUAAAUUGUUUUGGUAUCCAACUGAGAUAAUAACUUUCAUUAUUUUGUUGCUAUAAAAUCAUAUGUGAUUAUUAUAACACAAAUCUAUGAAAGGUUAGAAGUGAGGCUGCCUGGCAGCUCACCAUCCAUAGAUAAGAUUUCUGCUAACAUUAUUCCUGUUGCCACGUGUUAGAGCUUGAACAUAAACAUAGUCAACUUAUAUUAGUGUUUUUAUACAGAGCCUUUACCUGCUGGUCAAUGUUAUUGGAUAUUGUUUUAAAGAACUUCAAAUCUCUGUAACAUAUCUCAAGUUCCUUAUGCAUGUAGAAGAGAGCUUCAUUCUUCCACUGUUAUGAAUAGAAUUUGGUGUUCAUUUAUGGCCCUUUUCUUUGGAUUCAUUCUUAGAUAUAGGAUCACAUUAUCAAGGUACAUUGGCAGGUUUAUUCUUCUUCAUCCAUAUAGGUCAGGGGUGGUUGUUGUUGUUGUUGUUGUUGUUGUUGUUGUUGUUGUUGUUGUUGCUUUGGUUUGCUUUGGUUUGGUUUGGUUUGGUUUGGUUUGGUUUGGUUUGGUUUGGUUUGGUUUUGCCAAGAAAAAAGCACCAAUUUAAAAGAAUCUUUCAGGCUCAGAUUUGCAUACUCUGCUAAGUGUCGUUUGUGAUACUCCACAGUAAAGAGGAACCAAAGUAUCAUGUUAGCCUGCAUGUCUCUGUCAACACCUAAUUGCACUAAAGGAACUCAGAAGAAACUGGUUAACAAGGUGGUUUGAUCUAUAAAACACUCCUUACACACUCAUGAGAAACUUACUUAGAAUUUUAAAUUAAACC